AUGCUUGUACAAACACACAUGCACGCGCACACACACACACACACACACACACACACACACUCACACACACACACACACGUAUACACACACAUGCUCACACAUAUUGUACCCUGUGUGUGUAUGUGUGUGUGUGUAGGAGCGCGAGGCCUGGUGAGAGCCUUGCUGCAGGUGGAUCCAACAGAAAGACUGACGGCAGUUCAGACUCUGAUGCACCCCUGGAUUCAGACCACUACUGACCAGUACAGACCAACACAGACCACUACUGACCAGUAUAGACCAACACAGACCACUAGUGACCAGUACAGACCAACACAGACCACUACUGACCAGUACAGACCAACACAGACCACUACUGACCAGUAUAGACCAACACAGACCACUACUGACCAGUACAGACCAACACAGACCACUACUGACCAGUACAGACCAACACAGAGCACUACUGACCAGUACAGACCAACACAGACCACUACUGACCAGUACAGACCAACACAGACCACUACUGACCAGUACAGACCAACACAGAUCAGUGCUGACCAGCAGAGCCCAGCACAGCCGAGCAAAGUCCAACACAGACAUGAACCGAUCAGUGCAAACCAGCAGAGCCCAGCAAAGACCAGUACAGAACACUACAGACCAGUACAGAGUCCAACCACAGGCCAGUCCCGACCAGCACAGACCACUACAGAACACCACGGACCAGUACCAACCCCAGACCAACAGCGACCACCACACCCAAUCCCCCCAGCGCACCACCCACCCACCCAGCCAGCCCCAUCUCCUCACUCCGGCACCCAGCCAGCCCCAUCUCCUCACUCCACCACCCAGCCAGCCCCAUCAACCCCCCCCCAGCCCCACAGCAGUAGCACCUCUCAACCCCCCCACCCAAUUUCCCCACCCUCCAUCCUAUCCACAGCAACACCCAAACCCAGCUCCCUCCGACCUGGCAGAACCCCUCAAUCUGCCCUCCCACUCUACCCAGCCUCCCUCCCUCCACCCACCCUACCUCCCUCCCAACACCCACCCAUUCCCAGCCGAAAACCCACCCAGUCCCAGCACACCACACAUCCACCAGCAGUGUCCCACCCCUCAACAGCAGCACCCAAGCCCCACUUCCCCUCAACCCAUCCUCCUGAUUGA
rnacentral:lncRNA from 8 species